rnacentral:ncRNA from 1 species
AUUCCUGCCUUCGGAGACCCAGGUCCAUGGCCCCUGGGUCUGGACCGAAGGGCUAAAUAAAGAUAAAUAGCAUUAGAGUAACUAUGAGUUUAAUUUCACUGAAUGCAGGAAUCUCCUAAAGCCUUUGAUACUAAUAAUCACCUAAAAAAGAUUGAAAGAUUAUAAGUGAAAAUUCAAAGGAUGUAACAAUGGAUAAUCAUGCAGGAAACCAAAAUAAUAUUUAUUUAUAUUCUGAGUAGGUAAUCCCCAGAGACUAAACGUGAAACGAUCAGUUAUUAACUUUUCUAGCCGGAGGGGCCUUUGUGGCUAACGAAGUAUGCACCUCUUGGAUAAGGAAAAACUUUAAUUGGUUGAAGAUAUAGUCCAAUUAUAUAUGAAAAUAUAAA